GAAUUAUUCCGCGGACGUGGACGCCACGUACGAUACGCAAUUAAGCCAGUCCGAUGAAUUGCAAAUACAGUCGUUAGCCGACCAUUACAUUCGAAUGCUUUCAAGAGUGGCCGGCGGAUAGAUGAGGUAGGAGGCAGAGAGGCAGGAAUCGCGAGAAACCAUCCAAGCAGCGUCGCUGUAAUCCGAGCCACGAGCGGAAUUUCAAUCUCCCGGCAAAUGGAACACCGUGGUCCCAUGGCGUAAAGGUCGCCAACCGCGCGUGCACGCCAUCCAGGACGGACGGUCUGAUGAUGGUUCGGGUCGGUCGUUACCCAGGCUAAGUGGAUCGCCGUUACGGUGAUCAGGCACGACCUUUGUCGUCUCGAAGGAAGACGAUCCUCUUCGUGGAAGUAAUCGAGAGCUCCUUAUUACAUUCUAUCCGACACUUGAUUAUUCUUCCAAUGAUGGAUUAAUUAAGUUGCCCGAUUCGCCGAUGUUUUCCACAUGUCAACAGACAAAACAGUCAUUAUCGAGGUGAAUAACGACCACUUUGUAAAACGACGAACAAUGCUUUUGUACUGUGACACGUCUCGUAUUUACGUACUUACAAUACGUUGUUUCACGAUUCCUCAAUGGUUUUUUUUUUACAAUUUCACGUGCUGUACAAUGAUGCAAGUAUAGAAAAGUACUAUACAAUAUAAAGAAGAUUUAUCGUACGUAUAUUGUAAUAGUUUCUUUUUCUUAUAGAUUCAUUCUUGCCUUUCAGACAAAAAACGAUAUGAGUUAUUUCAAUUCUGUCUGUUGCAAAUUUGUUAAUGACCAAUUAAAUAUACAUAUGUUUAUAUCUCAAUCAAUACAUGGAAUAUGGAAUGUCAUUUAAAUAAUUUUCAAUUAUCUAUAAUAAAAAUUGUAAGAGAUUUAAAA